rnacentral:rRNA from 1 species
AAGACGGUCUUGCUGUCACUUAUAGAUGGAUCCGCGCUGCAUUAGCUAGUUGGUAAGGUAACGGCUUACCAAGGCAACGAUGCAUAGCCGACCUGAGAGGGUGAUCGGCCACACUGGAACUGAGACACGGUCCAGACUCCUACGGGAGGCAGCAGUAGGGAAUCUUCCGCAAUGGGCGAAAGCCUGACGGAGCAACGCCGCGUGAGUGAUGAAGGUCUUCGGAUCGUAAAACUCUGUUAUUAGGGAAGAACAUAUGUGUAAGUAACUGUGCACAUCUUGACGGUACCUAAUCAGAAAGCCACGGCUAACUACGUGCCAGCAGCCGCGGUAAUACGUAGGUGGCAAGCGUUAUCCGGAAUUAUUGGGCGUAAAGCGCGCGUAGGCGGUUUUUUAAGUCUGAUGUGAAAGCCCACGGCUCAACCGUGGAGGGUCAUUGGAAACUGGAAAACUUGAGUGCAGAAGAGGAAAGUGGAAUUCCAUGUGUAGCGGUGAAAUGCGCAGAGAUAUGGAGGAACACCAGUGGCGAAGGCGACUUUCUGGUCUGUAACUGACGCUGAUGUGCGAAAGCGUGGGGAUCAAACAGGAUUAGAUACCCUGGUAGUCCACGCCGUAAACGAUGAGUGCUAAGUGUUAGGGGGU